GGCUGGCUGAGGGAGACCGACGGGGAGGGUGGGGAGGAGGGCUCUCGUCGUGCGUUGGUUCUGCGUGGCGGCCUGCGUGUGUCGGGAGGUGGUGCUGGGAAAAGCCUAAAGAUUAGAUUGUAAGAAAAGAAAAUAGAAGACAUGUUUCGAAGACCUGUAUUACAGGUAUUUCAUCAGUUUGUAAGACAUGAGUCUGAAGUAACUAGCAGUUUGGUUCUUGAAAGAUCUCUGAAUCGUGUGCAGUUACUUGGGCGAGUGGGUCAAGACCCUGUCAUGAGACAGGUAGAAGGGAAAAAUCCAGUCACAAUAUUUUCUCUAGCAACAAAUGAGAUGUGGCGAUCAGGGGAUAGUGAAGUACACCAAAUGGGUGAUGUCAGUCAAAAGACAACAUGGCACAGAAUAUCAGUAUUUCGUCCAGGCCUCAGAGAUGUGGCCUAUCAGUAUGUGAAAAAGGGGUCUCGAGUUUAUGUGGAAGGGAAGGUAGACUAUGGUGAAUACAUGGAUAAAAAUAAUGUGAGGCGACAAGCAACAACAAUUAUAGCUGAGUUCACGUCUUAAUCAUUGUACCAUAUUGAUAAUUAUAAUUUGUUGUGAAUAAUAAUCUCAUUUCCUUACUGAUAACAUUAUAUUUCUGAGUGACCAGACAAAAGAGAAGGUGUAGACUGGAUGAUUCUUCUUUGGCCACUGUUUGGUAUAGUCUUAUUUCCAAAAUCAUGUAUAGUCUUUAGUUUCUAAUUAAAAUGCUCUUUUAUAUAAAA